rnacentral:lncRNA from 1 species
UUUGACUCUUUUUCUACUCAAAUUUUUCGAGUAUUUUAUAUGUGUUAGAGUCUUAAGUCUCGGCAAGUGAAUUUUUCUCUUUUGUUUUUCUUUUCUUUUUUUUUCUUUUUUUUUUCUUUUACAGAACAUACAUACUCUUUUUCUUUUUGUAUGAUCUCUUAUUAUGCACUUGCCUUCUCUUUCAAGAUUUCCACCCCAAACUUAGUUUUAU